AUUGAACGCUGGCGGCAUGCCUUACACAUGCAAGUCGAACGGUAACAGGUUAAGCUGACGAGUGGCGAACGGGUGAGUAAUGUAUCGGAACGUGCCCAGUCGUGGGGGAUAACUGCUCGAAAGAGCAGCUAAUACCGCAUACGACCUGAGGGUGAAAGCGGGGGAUCGCAAGACCUCGCGCGAUUGGAGCGGCCGAUAUCAGAUUAGGUAGUUGAUGGGGUAAAGGCCUACCAAGCCUACGAUCUGUAGCUGGUCUGAGAGGACGACCAGCCACACUGGGACUGAGACACGGCCCAGACUCCUACGGGAGGCAGCAGUGGGGAAUUUUGGACAAUGGACGCAAGUCUGAUCCAGCCAUGCCGCGUGCGGGAAGAAGGCCUUCGGGUUGUAAACCGCUUUUGUCAGGGAAGAAAAGGUUCUGGUAAAUACCUGGAACUCAUGUCGGUACCUGAAGAAUAAGCACCGGCUAAAUCAGUGCCAGCCGCCGCAGUAACAC
rnacentral:rRNA from 1 species